AAUCCUAUCACUACAUACUCGAACAAUCCCAUCAAUCAAAAUGAAUUCACAAAACCCAAAUAAGAAGAAAACCUAGCUAUCCAUGGGUGGUGUAGAGAAUGUUUCAAACCGCCAAUCCAUCAAAGUAAGAUGUAGAUCCUCCCUUGGGCUUUGAAUCCUUGGGUAUUUGGCAUCAAAUCAUCAUUCCCAGGGUGCUCCUAG
rnacentral:lncRNA from 1 species